GGCCCAAAUAACCCAAACUUAAGACCCCUAUCCCUUUCCCAUUUUCAUUCGAUCAGUUCACAACCACAAAUCGCCGCCUCCAGAACAUCGGGAAAAGACCGGCGAGACCUUUCUCAUCACCCUAGUUGUCUCCUCCACCCUCUCAUGCCACUUGGAAGCUUCUAACAUUUACAAAUGUUGAAUAGGCAUGAGCUCUGAAAAAUACGUCCCUCUUGCAGAUGUCUAUUCGACAUUUACAAUUCGACGCUCGAUCUCUACUCCUCGAAAGCUCACUCACAAUCUAUGGCUCACUUAGGGCUAGAAAGAUAGGAUUCCUUGGAUUUCUCGACGUAUAAAAGAUUUGUCCCCAAGGUCCAUGGAUGAAUUCCACCCUCAACAGCCUCCCAAUGGCUCCAAAGAGCUCUGGAAAAGUGGUGGCGAAAUGAUAGCUGAUGUGUAUUCGGAUCAUUCCACUUAUACUGAACCUCCUUCGUGAUUGAUGAGAAUGUACAGAGAGAAAUUAUAAAUCAUAGAUCGACGAGACAUCCGAACAUUGUCAGGUUUAAAGAGGGGCAAGGUUCUUACAUAAUCUCAAAAGGCGUCGACGAAGGAGGAGCUUGAAGGCACUUAAUAUUCUUUUUCGUAUGUGUAUGCAUAAAUGACAUCGAACAAUGAAAUAUUUUGUUGAUAUUUUUAGUAAUAGAAGUACUUAUUAUAUCCAA